AUUGAACGCUGGCGGCAUGCUUUACACAUGCAAGUCGAACGGUAACAGGCCGCGAGGUGCUGACGAGUGGCGAACGGGUGAGUAAUGCAUCGGAACGUGCCCAGCCGUGGGGGAUAACUACUCGAAAGAGUAGCUAAUACCGCAUACGAUCUGUGGAUGAAAGCGGGGGACCGUAAGGCCUCGCGCCAUUGGAGCGGCCGAUGUCAGAUUAGGUAGUUGGUGGGGUAAAGGCUCACCAAGCCAACGAUCUGUAGCUGGUCUGAGAGGACGACCAGCCACACUGGGACUGAGACACGGCCCAGACUCCUACGGGAGGCAGCAGUGGGGAAUUUUGGACAAUGGGCGCAAGCCUGAUCCAGGAAUGCCGCGUGCAGGAAGAAGGCCUUCGGGUUGUAAACUGCUUUUGUACGGAACGAAACGGCUCUGGUUAAUACCCGGGGCUAAUGACGGUACCGUAAGAAUAAGCACCGGCUAACUACGUG
rnacentral:rRNA from 1 species